GGAGCCGUGGCUGAAUGGUCAUCGCGCUUCAGUACUAUUCAAAUAGUCCCGGGUUCGAUUCCCGGUCCGCGCCG